CAUUGGCAUAACAAACGACUUUCAAGUAACCCGUGUGUGCAGUUGUAUGCGACAAUAGCCUACUAUUUGGAAUGACUGUUCGUACGAUCUUAAGUGCGUAAUGCCGCCAUACUCAAAUGCUUCUAAAAUUUAAAAGCUGCCUUCACUGCUGAAAGUUUUUAGUGGCUCCACCACAUAAAAUGAGCUGCAUUUGCGCAUUAGCAGUGUUACUUGGCUGUCAUUGCAAGGAAUAGUUGUCUGUGAAGCACGCUCCAAAUCUAUUGGCAUGAAGGACAUGUUUAGUUAGCCUGAAAAUGUUAUUCUAAUACGCGAAUUGCGGAGAAGGUAUGCUCAAGUGUGGUUACUGCUCAGCUCGAGCAGGAGCAUGUUCACCAAAUUGCAGAAGUCAAAACAGCUCUCCAGGUUCUGAGAUGUGAAACAGUAGUUUCACCAAUUUUAACAGACCACAUCGAAUUAAGGUUGCUCCUAUAUUGAAGGAGGUCCAUGUGAUGCGAGACAGCAGCCUUUUAGCAGAGGGAACCUGAGUGGUGUGGCAAUUUUCUUUUGGCUGUUUCAAUCAAAGAAACAACAGGGACAGAGUUGCAAGCAUUGCUGUCAACAGUACUACGUUUAGUGGGCGCUUACUCAUUCUAAGCACUUAACCUAUGACUCGUAUUUAUUAACGCACACUUUAUCACUUUGUAUUCUAAGAUAUGAAAAAAAUAUUUAUGUGUAUUCUAAGAUAUGAAAAAAUUUAUGUGGCUUUUCCCCAUAUACUUCAAUAAAUUGAGAAUAGGCUCUUGGGGCCUAGUGUAUAAAGCUUCUUACAGACCAUCGGACAUGUCCACUACUCCCACACUGAAAUUGUUAGAAUUGAUUCCUGCUUCCUUACUUCACCUACCUGUUAACAGGGUUAUGAACCAUUGCCAAGUGCUUAAAUUUAUCAAAAAGAUGAAUGGGCUUUUCUGUCGCUCUUGUUUAGCCCGUUGAGGAUCACAUUUUGGGGAGAAAUAUGCCUCUCUAAUUUAGGAGUUAUAUAUUUUUUGUGGUGUGCAAAUGCUCAAAACUUUCGAAUUGAAUAGUGUCCUAUUCAAUUUAGUCUUUGAAUGGUCACUAUUUGUAAAUGCGAGUAUUCUAAUAUUUCGAAACACCAAUAAAACAUGAAAUUUGAGCCAAAGUACGGUAAAUUUUCACCUCCAAUAACAUAGUGUAGACAUAAAACGUAACAACUUGUAAUAGCAGACCAGGCUACGUUACUUCAGUAGCUGUACAUUAGAAGCUGUACAGCAAUCAUUUAUGCUUACUGAAGAGUCCUGUGCAUGUGAAGAAACUUUCUGCUGCUCCAUUUGUGCUUUUAAUAAACAGCUUUUCAUAACAUAACAAUGACAGAAACUUGCUAACUUUAAUAAUACUAGGAUGUGAGCCUCAUCUUACAUUAAUUGUGAUAUCAGCUGUUCAUUAUUCAGAAACUAUCCAUUAUUUGAUUUGCUUCUAGCAUUAUUCGGUUCAGCCUCAAAAAUCACUUUUCGCCCACCCUUAAUAUUUUUAUUGCAGAUUUACGUUCUUCAGAGUGACAUUCCGAGAAAAUAAACAGGCUUCACGUGUCGCAAAUUGCCUGGUACCAACAUGCCCUAUGUAAAGAACUGUGGCCUCGCUUCUCGCAUGGGACCAAUAACCUCUCAAGAGCCCAAGUUGGACAGCUCAAACCAAAACACAAGUGUUGUGCUUUUGUAACUCUCGACAUUUUUAUGUUCUGUGUUAGUCCCCUGAAGGGCCCAAUUUGGAUUUCUCAAAUGAGCUUACAAAUGUUGUGCCUUUCUAUGCCUUCACAUUUUUAUGUUAAUUUUAUUUAUGUUAAUUAUGCUAGUCUCCUGAGAAGUCCACAUUGGAUUGCUCAAUCCAGAAUACAAGUGCUGUGCUUUGUUAUAGUUCA